rnacentral:lncRNA from 10 species
GGGUGAGUCAUGAAUGCAUCUCGGGAAGGAGUUCCCCAGGCUGAGGGAGCUGCACCUGAGGAAACCCAGGAGGCAAAGGUGGUCCUGGUCAGGAUGAUGAGGAGGUCCGUGUGGCUGGAGCAGGUGAGCUAGGUGGAGAGAGGCCGUAGAUGAGGGCAGAGCUGCUGCGGGAGCCAAACGUGUAAGGAUCUUUUCGGGCAGUGAGAGGACGUUGGUUUCUCACAGCAGAGAAGGGACAUCAUCUGACAUAUUUUAAAAGUAUCUCUCCGGCUCCCUUGUGGACUGUAAGGGACCAAGAGUUGAAACAGGCACCCAGGAGGAGUCCUUCCAGCAACUGAGAGGACUUGGUCCGAUUCUACCUCCGGAACAAUGCUCAGCCCACAGCCCUCAUUCCCUCCGUGAUGAACAGUAACUGUGGACUUUUGACCUUCCUCUUGAGCUUGGUCUGAGUCUUGGCAUUUACAACCACGGCUCUAGAUAAAAGAACAAUUGGACCAUGAGAGAACUUACUGGAAAGUAAUGCAGGAUCACCAGGAAGGAACAGGAAUUCACUCCUCGGUCACAGUCUUCAUAGUCUGAUUGGGAGUCAAUCAGGUCUAAAAAGGUCAGUGAGAAUGUAUGUCUGACUUUGGCAGGCUUCCAGCGCCUUACAGUCAUGGAAUAGUUUGUUGGGUUGUAGUUUUUUCCAGAGCCUAUUCAGAGCUUCCUUUGGCUGCUCUAUCCAUGUCGGCUUCCUCACACCGCCACCCCACCACUAUUUUCCCCUCACUUAUUGUCUGUCAAUGCAAAGCUAUUGUUCCCGUUAACUAAAAUCACCAAUAAACAAAUAUUUUUUUUCUCUCCAUUUCAUCUUCCAUAAAACUUGACUUUCAGGUCCUUUCCCCUGUACCCUCGUCUCUGGGAGCUGGUCCCAGGUCUCAG